rnacentral:rRNA from 1 species
CCUACGGGAGGCAGCAGUAGGGAAUAUUGCUCAAUGGGGGAAACCCUGAAGCAGCAACGCCGCGUGGAGGAUGAAGGUUUUCGGAUUGUAAACUCCUUUUGUUAGAGAAGAUAAUGACGGUAUCUAACGAAUAAGCACCGGCUAACUCCGUGCCAGCAGCCGCGGUAAUACGGAGGGUGCAAGCGUUACUCGGAAUCACUGGGCGUAAAGAGCGCGUAGGCGGGAUAGCAAGUCAGAUGUGAAAUCCUAUGGCUUAACCAUAGAACUGCAUUUGAAACUGUUAUUCUAGAGUAUGGGAGAGGUAGGUGGAAUUCUUGGUGUAGGGGUAAAAUCCGUAGAGAUCAAGAGGAAUACUCAUUGCGAAGGCGACCUGCUAGAACAUAACUGACGCUGAGGUUCGAAAGCGUGGGUAGCAAACAGGAUUAGAUACCCCAGUAGUC